ACAUGCUUACAACAUAGUGUUAAUGCACUGAAUCUCAUUAGAACUCUGUAGUCAAGCAUGCUCGGGAUAAAGUAGUACUAGGAUGGGUGAUCACCCAGGAAUUCCUAGUAUUUUACAUGCC
rfam:Picea glauca, whole genome shotgun sequence.